rnacentral:rRNA from 1 species
UACGUAGGGGGCAAGCGUUGUCCGGAUUUAUUGGGCGUAAAGAGCGUGUAGGCGGCCAUUCAGGUCAGCUGUGAAAACUCGAGGCUCAACCUCGAGACGUCGGUUGAAACCGUUUGGCUAGAGUCCGGAAGAGGAGAGUGGAAUUCCCGGUGUAGCGGUGAAAUGCGUAGAUAUCGGGAAGAACACCCGUGGCGAAGGCGGCUCUCUGGGACGGUACUGACGCUGAGACGCGAAAGCGUGGGGAGCGAACAGG